GGAGAAAAGGUGCGGCCAUUAUAGAGCUGCAAAGGCAGCUAUUAUUGUUUGAUUCACAAACUGUUGAGAUGAUGUAUUACUUGAGCUGUAUGGCUGUAUGCAUGAACAUGCAAAAGGCCGGAAUGAUAUUUCCAUUUCCAAAAAAAAGCUAUUAUACCAGUGAUGCAUGGUUCUCUCUCUUUUGUCGAAAGGCAGAGAGCAAUCCGAGAUUUCAACAAGGAAUAAAGCAAUCCAAGACUUCAAGGUUAGACCUUCAUAAAUGGCUGAUGUUAUUGGUUGUAGUAUACUCCUACAAGAUUAGUUGUAUUGCUGUAACAAGAUAUGGACAGGACAACACGCCCGUACAGUAGCACAGUGUGUGAUUGAGAUACUAGAUGGAUGGAUGGAUAGACCUACAAAAUCUUUGUGAUUGACAUGGACAGCCAAGCGCACAGGGAAACCCGGAAAUGGGGCAUUUUUUUUUUGGUGUGAACACCGGCAGGCAGGCAGCAAUCAAGGAAUGCAAUCCGGUUUCUUCCGCAGGCGCACGAGUUAGAUCCACAGGAACAACAAGUAGGGGGGAAAAUGGAGUCUUUCGUAGAUGAGAAGAGGGAGGUGCUAGAUAGUAGUACCUUGAGG
rnacentral:misc_RNA from 1 species